UGGGGAAUCUUGGACAAUGGGGGCAACCCUGAUCCAGCCAUGCCGCGUGAGUGAUGAAGGCCUUAGGGUCGUAAAGCUCUUUCGCCUGUGAAGAUAAUGACGGUAGCAGGUAAAGAAACCCCGGCUAACUCCGUGCCAGCAGCCGCGGUAAUACGGAGGGGGUUAGCGUUGUUCGGAAUUACUGGGCGUAAAGCGCACGUAGGCGGACCAGAAAGUUGGGGGUGAAAUCCCGGGGGCUCAACCCCGGAACUGCCUCCAAAACUAUUGGUCUAGAGUUCGAGAGAGGUGAGUGGAAUUCCAAGUGUAGAGGUGAAAUUCGUAGAUAUUUGGAGGAACACCAGUGGCGAAGGCGGCUCACUGGCUCGAUACUGACGCUGAGGUGCGAAAGUGUGGGGAGCAAACAGGAUUAGAUACCCUGGUAGUCCACACCGUAAAACGAUGAAUGCCAGUCGUCGGGUAGCAUGCUAUUCGGUGACACACCUAACGGAUUAAGCAUUCCGCCUGGGGAGUACGGUCGCAAG
rnacentral:rRNA from 1 species